GAAAUGCGAUACGUAGUGUGAAUUGCAGAAAACCGUGAACCAUCGAAUCUUUGAACGCAUAUUGCGCUCGAGGCUUCGGCCAAGAGCAUGUCUGCCUCAGCGUCGGGUUUAUCCUCGCUCAAAUACAACUUGUUUGUAUGUCGGAGCGGACCUGGCAGUCCCACUCUGGCAAAGGGUGGGUCUGCUGAAGCCCAGAGGUUGAUGUAUGGACCCUUCUAAAGGGCCGCAACUGGGUAGGCAUUUCUUAUGCUGAAUUCUAGUUGUUGGCCUGGGUGAAAUGCAUCCGACCCUCAAACAGGAAACCCCUUUUAUUCUCGACCUGAGCUCAGGCAAGAUUACCCGCUGAACUUAAGC
rnacentral:misc_RNA from 1 species